CUCAUGAGCGUACGCCUCAUCAUCCGGCCGCGCUCAUCAACACCGUGCACGUUCCCCGAAACCACCAUCAUCAGAUUAUCAGGAAGAGGAAAACUGGUGUACUGACCCCACCAACGCUGGAAUGCCGUUGAGAUAGGCCGUACAGUAAGCAGAAGACGAGGAACUCUUUAUAGAGCAGUUUGUAAAUGCUGCCCCUCCAUCGGAGCAGAAGUUUGGUGAAUCCAGCGAAGCGAGCGUUCGCCACCUCCAGAGUGUACGACACCGUCAUCUGGUCACAUGACACAGUCUAGCAUUACAGUACAGCACGCUACAGUAACACACUGUACUACAGUAUAGAGCUGUACAGAGGAAUUACUGUAUCUCUGUCAAUCAGUCUCGUGUAAUGUGUGCAACAUGACAAAAAAAAACACAACAUAAAACACAAUACACAACUUAAUACACAACACAAUAUGCAAUACACAACAUAACACACAAUACACAACUUAACACACAACACAAUACACAAUACACAACUUAAUACACACCUAAUGAUACACAACCUAACACACAAUAUACAACUUAAUACACAACACAAUACGCAAUACACAACAUAACACACAAUACACAACUUAAUAAUCAUUAUCUCUCUGAUUGUCUCUGAGACAAAACUCUCAGGAAAGUGUGUGAUGUAAUAAAUCCUGAGAUCGAUACUGUAUCAUCAUAAUCAUCAUAUCUCUCAGCUCUGGAUCAGUGGCUCUGAAAAGCGUCGCUCUAAACCUUUUACCAAACUGAGCAUGAUGACGAUUUCUCUCUUACCUUCAGCGCCGCGUGUUCCGUGUGAGAGGAAGCUCGUCACUCGUCUUCAUCUUUAUAGCCUCCGUCUGAUGGCAGCUUCUGUCCCUCCGGUGAUUUGUGGUUUGGGAACCAGAGCUACAGUAAAGUGUAGAGCUCCAGGUUCUGCCCCGGUGACUGAUGGACAGUUCUCCAUUCCUGCAGCAUCCUGAAGUUAAAUAUUAUAAAACUGUGCAGAUUUAUAGAACUGCAGCCUGUUUAACGAGUCGAUCUCACACUCAGAAUAAAUUCUCUUAAUAUUG